GUGAAUAUGGUUUCUUUAUUUAUACAUCAUGUUUAUUGACGUAAGAAAAUUCCUUCGACAGAUUGCUACAAUUGCUGAUGCAGUAUAUGGUGUGUGGGCUAAAUACCGUCUUCAAAUUACAGGCCGACCACCUAUGGAAGAAAUAUUAAAAACUCGAAAAACUAAGGGUGAAGUAUGCAAAGACAGCAACACUUGCAAGAAGUGAAUUUCCAUGAUAGCUGAUGGUUGUGGUCAUUUUAUUCACAACUAGUAAAGUUUGCAUUUAUAUGAGCUUGGUUUGAAAAACAAGCCAACAUAGAUACGUGUCACAGCUCUUCUCCAUGUUAGCCGUAAUUCAUGUCUAUUUCAGUACAUGUAUUAGGUAACUCUUUUUUUCUUUUUUCUUUUUUCCAUUUAUAAAUUUUGCUGCCGUGAGCUGAAAUAAGAACUGGGAAUGUAUAUAGAUAUCACUUGGGGCAUGUGUAUCAUCAGGGAAGGAUAUGUAGAAUAGUUCCAUUUGCACGUAAAUACACAAACACAGAAAGUUCCCCUAUCCAUGCUGUGUGCGUAUAUUUCCCUACUGAGCGUGGGGAUUACUUUUGGUUGCCCUUACUUUUAUUGGAUGAAUUGUAAGAUCUUGAAUAUAUGCGUCCUUACUCAUUAUCACUUGUAUGUAAGUCAUUUAUUUUUC